UGGUGUAGCUCAAUUGGCAGAGCAGCUGAUUUGUAAUCAGCAGGUUGAGGGUUCAAGUCCCCCCACC
rnacentral:tRNA from 1 species